AACGCACCUUGCGCCCUUUGGUAUUCCGAAGGGCAUGCCUGUUUGAGUGUCAUUAAAUUCUCAACUUCAGAAAUCUUUUUUUUUGAAGCUUGGACUUUGGAGGUUAUUGCAGGCUUAUCUUGUCAGCUCCUCUUAAAUGCAUUAGCGGAACUUUUUAGGGACCAGCUUUGGUUUGAUAAUCCUAUCUAUGCCAUGGCUGUGGACUUUUUUUGUAUGUUCAGCUUCUUAAUGGUCCCUUUGGACUGUCUUGCUUUAGAGGCAUACACUUUUAAGCUUGACCUCAAAUCAGGUAGGACUACCCGCUGAACUUAA
rnacentral:misc_RNA from 1 species